rfam:Neotoma lepida isolate 417 scaffold_930, whole genome shotgun sequence.
AGGCAUAGCUAGGCUAGGUCUUGGAGGCUGGUGUGAGGCGGUGCGGGUAAGGCAGGAGGAGGCUGAUGGAAGACACUGGCGGAAGAAAAGCCGAAAUGGAUUCUCCGUGCCUUGGAUGGAGGAAGAGGGGGGAAGUGCGAGCUCCUUCAAGUCAUUCCGUCCGGUGAGGAGUGAUCCAGCUUGGGCUGACAAGAGGCUCCGGGAGCCCUCACGUUCAGUGCUUUUUUACCUGCCAAUCAAACUGCUACAAGACAACACCCUGUUCUGGCAUGGACGC